rnacentral:rRNA from 1 species
GACGAACGCUGGCGGCGUGCCUAAUACAUGCAAGUCGAACGCAGUGGGGACGGGUGACUAACACCUGGUUAACCUCCCAUCAGAGGGGAUAACACUUGGAAACAGGUGCUAAACCGAUACGGAUGGAUGAACCCGCGUUGCAUUGGCUAGUUGGUGAGGUAACGGCUCACCAAGGCCACGAUGCAUAGCCGGCCUGUGAGUGGGUUCGGCUCCCCCGCGAUUGAACCAAGGCCCAGACCCCGAGGGGAUGCAGCGGUGUAGAAUGUUCGGUAAUGUACGAAAGUCUGACCUAGCAACGCCGCGUGAGUUAAGAAGGUUUGCGGAUCGUAAAACUCUGUUGUUAGAGAAGCGGUAUUUAACCAGAAAGCCACGGCUAACUACGUGCCAGCAGCCGCGGUAAUUC